rnacentral:rRNA from 1 species
CGCAGCCGCGGUAAUUCCAGCUCCAAUAGCGUAUAUUAAAGUUGUUGCAGUUAAAAAGCUCGUAGUUGAAUUUCGGGGUUAGUAGGUUGGUCGUGCCACUGGUAUGCACUGGCCUCACUGAUUCCUCCUUCUUGAAGAACUGUAAUGCCAUUAAUUUGGUGUUGCAGGGAAACAGGACUGUUACUUUGAAAAAUUGAGUGUUUAAAGCAGGCUAACGCUUGAAUACAUUAGCAUGGAAUAAUGAAAUAGGACGUUUGAUCCUAUUUUGUUGGUUUCUAGGAUUGACGUAAUGAUUAAUAGGGAUAGUUGGGGCAUUAGUAUUCAAUUGUCAGAGGUGAAAUUCUUGGAUUUAUGAAGACUAACUACUGCGAAAGCUAUUUGCCAAGGAUGUUUCAUUAAUCAAGAACGAAAGUUAGGGAUCGAGGACGAUCAG